rnacentral:tRNA from 2 species
GCCCCGGUAGCUCAGCUGGAUAGAGCAACGGAUUUCUAAUCCGUAGGUCACAGGUUCAAAUCCUGUCCGGGGUA